AUAUGUUGGGGGGAAUAUUCACUUGGCUAACACAGACAGUCCCCGAAAUCGUUAUAGAACUAAAAUAAGGGAAAAUCGGAAUAAAAUUAUACUCUAACCUGGUACACAUACUACAGGAAUACCCAAAAAAUUAAUAAUGCUUUCAAGCUGAUAUCUAAUCCUAGUUUGAAGUAUUUCAAGAAUAAAAGUUGAAGAUGUCAACUUAAAACAGCUAUUUUAAGUUUUCACUUGAAGCUCUCGAUAUAUUAUAUUGAGUAAAUGUGCUUGUGGCAACAGUAUUCUUCGUAACCUUAGCUUUUCUCAUGCCCUUAGUGUAGUUUCAUAGGUGCGGUGGCCCACUGGGUGAAGUGUUUAUACCAUUACAGGUUAUCAUCUCUGUUUUGAAUCCCAUUCAUUUAAAAAAAUGUUUCUAUUUACUUUUCUUUAUCUGUUACAUUCAAAGAGUGAAUCGAAGAAUUAGGUAUUUUUAAGUCGGCUUUAGUUGGUCAGUUGUUUAUAUAACCCCAGUCUGCAUUGGCAUAAUUUAGGGGGCUCCCGAAGUAUGCGAACCAAGAUGGCAGACAUCGGAACAUAACCUGGGUAACAGGUUAGGGUUAGGCCAUAAUUUUUUUCCAAUUUUUCUUAUUUUAGUCCUAUUAUCAGUUCGAAGACUAGCCAAGAGCCUCCCGUAGUAUUUAUACCUAAAAUUAUGGCCUAACUCUAACCUAGUACACAUAUUACAUUGCGAUGUCCGCCAUCUUGGUUCGCAUACUUCGGGAGCACUAAAUUUAGGAGUGGCCUAUUUUAGUGAUGCUUCACACCUUUAUGGCUCAUAUUUUAUCUAAUACCUAAUUACAUAUCUGUCCCGAACUCUGAAAUAUUUUCAUCGGUGGUUCAGUUUCAUCUUUUUACAUAUAACAUUUGGUAAAUCUAGAACAUCACCUAGUUCAGUGGUUCCCAAUUGAAGGCCCAUGGCCCCCAAGGGGCCACAGUACAGUUUAAGAGUGGCCAAUAUACUGGGCGCUGAAUUGCUUUUAAUUAAUGCAAUUUUGUUUCAAUACUUCUCCCGUUAAAAAACAUUACUCUUUCCCUGUAGAUCAUUUUCAGUGGCAUAGCCUUUUCCCUUUUUUGUGCACAAAUUGUUUGAUAAUAUUGGAACCUGCCAAUCGAAUUACCAAUAUAAACAUAUUCGCACACUUUGAAUUCUAAUGUUUGUGAUUGGUGGCAUACUAGUACAUACUAAAUACAUCAUAGACUUGUCUGUAUCAAUUUCUUAGGGCGAAUAAACAGGGACCACAAGUACUGAAAGUCUCUGGAAGGGGGCCACGAUCCUUAAAAGGUUGGGAACCACUGGCCUAGUUCAUCAGUGGGGCAAUAACAACUCGUUUUGAGCAAAAUCGAUUAAGACAGUGGUAUCGAUAUCUCCCCUUUAUCUCAUUCAGUCAGUGUCACCUUGCUUUGUUGGAUCAGGCAUCAUUUCAUUCUAUUUUUUUGUUGAUGGUUAUUUUCGUUAUUAUUUAUUCCCAUCAAUUUAAAUCUCAGCACGACUCUAGUUUAUCUGUAGCCGCUUACAGUAUAUUUUUAUUGAUUUAAUCUCUCACUACAGCUUUAGUUUAUCAGCGGUUGGUUGUUUACAGCAAAACCUAGUAAAAUGGGUUGGAAUUGGAAAUCUCGUGAGAUCUGGAUGGAUAGAGGAUACAAAUUGGUUUCCUCUAGUUUAAUAAUCACUACGGUCGUCGGCAGCCUGUUUCUUGGGAAUAUUGUUUAUGAAAUUUUCAAACGAAGAAAAGAGAGAAAAUUAAAAUUCAUCGAGGGAACGCUGCCUGUCGCACAACCACAGGAACAAGCGAUAAACUAUAAUAAUGACGAAGUGUCAAGGAACUAAUGAAAUGACUCUAUCGUGAUAUGGACUCUAAAUGGAAUGGAAAUGUGUGGAAGUCGAUUUAUAUUCAAUGAUUUUUUAAAUUAUUCACGGCUACUAUCCAUGCCUUUCGCUCCAAGGAAGGCUCUGUACAAGCAGCUACUGUUUGGUUAAGGAUUGCCCACCUAAUUUAUCACACCACUAAAUAGUGAUUUUCAGGCUAUAAGUUGUGCAUGCAACCUAGGGCCUUGGUUUUGUGGGUCGGAAAUAAGAUGUAAAAAGAAAAAAACUUGAACCCCUCUCUGAUAUUUCCUGGCUAUGCCCCUGAUACAAGUCAAAGAGUUGUUAGUUUACAUAAGCAUGUGCAGAUAAUUGAAUAUCAAAUUUGAUUAGAUGAAUUUAAUAAAGUGAUUUUUCUAUG